GAUGAAGAACGUAGUGAAAUGCGAUAAUUAAUGUGAAUUGCAGAGUUCAGUGAAUCAUCGAGUCUUUGAACGCACAUUGCGCCCCCUGGUAUUCCGGGGGGCAUGCCUGUCCGAGCGUCAUUGCUGCCCUCAAGCACGGCUUGUGUGUUGGGCUUCCGUCCCUGGCAACGGGGACGGGCCCAAAAGGCAGUGGCGGCACCAUGUCUGGUCCUCGAGCGUAUGGGGCUUUGUCACCCGCUCCCGUAGGUCCAGCUGGCAGCUAGCCUCGCAACCAAUCUUUUUAACCAGGUUGACCUCGGAUCAGGUAGGGAUACCCGCUGAACUUAAGCAUAUCAAUAAGCGGAGGA
rnacentral:misc_RNA from 1 species